rnacentral:rRNA from 1 species
UGCCAUGCUGAAUAUACUGAUUCUCGUUCGACUACAGAAGUCAAGCAUCAUCGGGCGCGGUCAGUACUUGUGAGGGUGACCACCUAGGAACACCGCGUGCCGUU